rnacentral:misc_RNA from 1 species
UAAUCUCACCCCCGAGUCUUUUCGGUCUCGGGAGUGGACUUGGACGUUGCCGCCUACGUCGGCUCGUCUCGAACGUCUCAGUGUACCCCGUCCGUCGGCGUAGACAGUGUGAUAGGUAUCUUCACUGCUCCAGUCUCUUCGGAGACGCGCCUUCAGGAUGUGGACGUGUGCUGCCAACCGUCUUCGGACAAACCAAUCGACA